AAACCAACAGGGAUUGCCUUAGUAGCGGCGAGUGAAGCGGCAAUAGCUCAAAUUUGAAAUCUGCCAACAGGCCGAGUUGUAAUUUGAAGAAAGCAAUUCUGGAUGUGUCUCUGCUCAAGUUCCUUGGAACAGGACAUCAUGGAGGGUGAGAAUCCCGUGAUGCGGAGGUUGCAUAUCUGUGUAGAAUGUUUUCGACGAGUCGAGUUGUUUGGGAAUGCAGCUCAAAGUGGGUGGUAAAUUCCAUCUAAAGCUAAAUAUUGGCGAGAGACCGAUAGCGAACAAGUACUGUGAAGGAAAGAUGAAAAGAACUUUGAAAAGAGAGUGAAAAAGUACGUGAAAUUGUUGAAAUGGAAGGGCUUGAGAUUAGACAUGGUGCUAGUGUUCCCGCUUUCCUUCGGGUUGGCGUUCUCACUGGUACCGGGCCAGCAUCGGUUUUGGCGGGAGGAUAAAUGGCAUUGAAUGUAGCUGCUUGCAGUGUUAUAGCCUUGUCAAAUACUUCCAGCCGGGACUGAGGACCGCGCAUUUGCUAGGAUGCUGGCGUAAUGAUCUUAAGCCACCCGUCUUGAAAC
rnacentral:rRNA from 1 species